rnacentral:rRNA from 1 species
UCAACGCUGGCGGCGUGCCUAACACAUGCAAGUCGAACGCGAAAGUGGAGCAAUCCAUGAGUAGAGUGGCAAACGGGUGAGUAACGCGUGGGUGACCUGCCUUCGAAUGGGGGAUAACGUUUCAAAAGGAACGCUAAUACCGCAUAACUUCUUGUUUUUUAAAAGAUGGAGAGCAAAGCCGGGGAUCGCAAGACCUGGCGCUUGAAGAGGGGCCCGCGUCCAAUUAGCUAGUUGGUGGGGUAAUGGCUCACCAAGGCAACGAUCGGUAGCCGGCCUGAGAGGGCGGACGGCCACACUGGGACUGACACACCGCCCACACUCCUACGGGAGGCAGCAGUGGGGAAUUGUUCGCAAUGGGCGCAAGCCUGACGACGCACCGCCGCGCGGAAGAUAAAUAUCUUCGGGUCAUAAACUCCUUUCGAUCAAGACGAAUGGCCGCUGGGCUAAUCACCAGGGGAGUGACGGUACCGAAAGAAGACCCCCCGGCUAACUCCGUGCCAGCAGCCGCGGUAAUAGGGGGGGGGCAAGCGUUGUUCAGAAUUACUGGGCGUAAAGGGCUCGUAGGUGGCCAACUAAGUCAUACGUGACAUCCCUCAUCUUAACUGGGGAACUGCGUCUGAUACUGUAUGGCUUGUGUUUGGGAAGAGGGAUGCAUAUCUCCAGGUGUAGCGGUGAAAUGCAUA